UACGUAGGGGGCGAGCGUUGUCCGGAAUCAUUGGGCGUAAAGCGCGUGUAGGCGGCUUGGUAAGUCCGGUGUGAAACCUUGGGGCUCAACCCCAAGCCUGCAUUGGAUACUGCCUCGCUUGAGUCCGGGAGGGGAGAGCGGAAUUCCUAGUGUAGCGGUGAAAUGCGCAGAUAUUAGGAAGAACACCGGUGGCGAAGGCGGCUCUCUGGAACGGUACUGACGCUGAGACGCGAAAGCGUGGGGAGCGAACAGG
rnacentral:rRNA from 1 species